UUUUAGGGUCUAGGAUGUGUUCUUGAGGAUGUUUUCUGUGAUCUAGGAAGUGUAUAGUGAUUUAGGAUACUCUCAGCUCACAUAUAUUAGGGUCUUGAUAGGAUAGGAUGUCUUGGGGAGUCUAGGAUGUGUUCUGAGGACGUGUUCUUGGGGUCUAGGAUGUCUUCUGUGAUCUAGGAAGUGUACAGUGAUUCAGGAUACUCCCAGCUCUCACACACAUAGACAUUAGGGUAUUGCUAGGAUAUCUUGUGAUCUAGGAUGUGCUUUGGAGGUCUAGGAUGUGUUCUGUGGUCUAAGGACGUUAGUAGGUUGUGUACAGUGAUCUAGGAUACUCCCAGCUCCCAUUCUCUAGGAUCUUACUAGUAUGUCUUGUGGUCUAGGAUGUUAUUUAUAGGUUCAAUAGGAUCUGUUCUAGUUAAUUCCCACCUCACUCAAGUUACAUCUCUAGGAUUUCGUUUUAAAUAGGAUUUAUUGAUUGUAGAGUUACCCCAUACCAUCCUAGCUAUCAUAUAGAGGCCUAGGACUGACAUUAUUUCUGCUAGGAUUAUUUCUGCCAUCCUAGCUAGUGUUUUAGAGCACUAGGAUUGGCAGUACUUCUGCUAGGACUACUUCUGCCAUCCUAGCUUGGCUUUAGAGCCCUAGGAUUGGUAUUAUUUCUGCUAAGACUACUUCUACCAUCCUAGCUAUCAUAUAGAGCCCUAGGAAUGGUAUUAAUUCAGCUAGGACUACUUCUACCAUCCUAGCUAUCAUAUAGAGCCCAAGAAUGGUAUUAAUUCAGCUAGGACUACUUUUGCUAGGACUACCACCAUCCUAGCUAGGCUUUAGAGCCCUAGGAUUGGUAUUAUUUCUGCUAGGACUACUUCCGCCCUCCUAGCUCGGCUUUAGAGCUGUAGGAUUGGUAUAAUCCUUUAUCUGGGAUUUAAAAAGAGUCCUACCAUCCUAAUUAUAUUGGGGGAGGGUCGUAGGAGUUGUAUGUAGGAUUGCUUUAAAGUUCAGGAUGUGGUCUAUCAUCCUAGGAAUUCUCUUCGACAUCCUAUAGACAUCCUACGGGAGAGAAAAUCUAUGUAAGGUUUCUUGAAGGAUAUUUUAGUUACACAGCCAUCCUAGCAAUAGACAUCCUAGGUUAGAAAGGAGUUUAGGAUUACUGCUAGGAUAUUUUACUUACACUCGUCCUGGCAAUAGACAUCCUAGGAUAGAUAAAACGUAUGUAGGAAUUCCUUGAAGGAUAUUUUAGUUAUACACCUAUCCUAGCAAGCAUAUAUACAGUCAUACAGACGCAUUAUACCAGAAUAUACUCGAUAUACUGAGCAUUAUACCCUCUUGGAGUACCUAACCCGAGCAGAGAUAAUUAAAGCUCAUUUUCAGCGGGGAGUUCACCAAGGCGAUGUCGAAAGAUUGGCACUCGGGCCAUUUCUGUUGUUGGCAGUGUGACGAAUCUCUCACCGGUCAGCGUUAUGUUCUCAAGGAUGACCACCCUUACUGUAUUAAGUGCUACGAGGCUGUCUUCGCUAACACCUGUGAAGACUGCACAGCCAUUAUCGGCAUCGACUCCAAGGAUCUGUCGUACAAGGACAAAACUGGCAUGAGAAAUGUUUCCUAUGCAACAAGUGUCAAGUGUCCCUCGUAGAUAAACAGUUUGGAUCUAAGAUGGACAAGAUAUUCUGCGGCCCCUGUUAUGAUGCCCAGGUUCUUCUGGCUGUGAUGGUUCGCGGGCGAGAUUU